rnacentral:hammerhead_ribozyme from 1 species
AUCCAGCUGAUGAGUCCUAAAUAGGAUGAAAGGUGCCUUAAACUGGAU